CGAGAGCCAUAGAUUUCUGGAUUCACUCUCCUCUUCGAUUGAGAUCCCAUAUGCUUAUUGGAGAGUCUCUUAUGGAUAUGGUUUGAGAUAACUUCCUAUCUUUCAAACUAGGUAAAUGGCUCUGAAUUCUUAGUCUUGCUAGCCUUCCUUCUUUGGCACCUGCGGAAAAGCAGGAUAGCUAUAUAUGCUUUCAGCCGCUGGGAGAUCCCUUCCACUCAUUCUAUUCAGGGGCAAUUAAUCAUAAUGAGGAUUUUAUGGUAGCUCAGGUG
rnacentral:misc_RNA from 1 species